rnacentral:misc_RNA from 1 species
GUGAAACACAAGUGAAUAAAAAUACAAAAGGUUGGAUUAAGAAGUUACAAAUACAACCAAGCACCCGCCUAAACUAAUGAAAAAGAAUCAGAAAGAGGGAAGUAUGAAAUAUGAUCAAUGACCAGAAUACAUAUCAAAAAAACAAAGGGAAUAACCAGGCUUUUAGAAAGAGAUCUAUAAAUUUCCAAAGAGAAAAUAUCCAUGCCAUUAUAAUUUUACAGAUAAUAACACAGAAAGCAACUCAUGAACUUA